GGCGCGCUACUGUCUGCCCUGGCAGCCCUGAUUCUUCGUUUUCAGCUCGUUCUCGCGUGCAUGUCCUUCCUCGCUCCUAGUACCACUUCCGUAGGUGAUCACGGUUGCAUUUAGCACAUGCAACAAGCCCUUUAAACCCCUAGAUAGCUCUAGUGGACGAGUGUGUUCUCGUGAGGGUUUGUAGAAGAUGUACCCACAA
rnacentral:lncRNA from 1 species